AUAGAUGAAACUUUACCUAACAUCUGAGCAGCAAGCUGAGCUGGGUCAGCUGGGACGUAGGCAAACUCUGAUUUCACUCACUGCUUGGGCUGUAUUUCCCUGCACAAGACUUUGAAAGUGUCCUCAGGAAGAAAGCCUCUGUGAAUAUGGGCUGAAUUUCUAGGAAUCCCUUCUCCCAAGAAUCUAGUAUCAUUCAACAGAUUUACUGAAUUAAACCAUCUUUAAAAAACCAGAAGUGAUCCAGCAAUCCCACUGCUGGGUGUAUACCCAAAUGGAAAUCAGUAUACAGAAGAGCUAUCUGCACUCCCAUGCUCGUUGCAGCACUGUUGACAAUAGGUAAGAUUUGGAAGCAACCUAAGUGUCCAUCAACAGAUGAAUAAAGACAAUGUGGUGCACAGAUACAACGGAGUACUAUUCAGCCAUUAAAAAAG